GUCUACGGCCAUGCCACCCUGAACAAGCCUGAUGUCUGUUAUUGGAAGCUAAGCAGGAUCAGGCCUGGUUAGUACUUGGAUGGGAGACCAUCUAGGAAGACCAGGUGCUGUAGGCA
rnacentral:rRNA from 1 species